CCUACGGGUGGCUGCAGUGGGGAAUAUUGCACAAUGGGCGCAAGCCUGAUGCAGCCAUGCCGCGUGUGUGAAGAAGGCCUUCGGGUUGUAAAGCACUUUCAGCGGGGAGGAAGGCGGUGAGGUUAAUAACCCCAUCGAUUGACGUUACCCGCAGAAGAAGCACCGGCUAACUCCGUGCCAGCAGCCGCGGUAAUACGGAGGGUGCAAGCGUUAAUCGGAAUUACUGGGCGUAAAGCGCACGCAGGCGGUCUGUCAAGUCGGAUGUGAAAUCCCCGGGCUCGACCUGGGAACUGCAUGCGAAACUGGCAGGCUAGAGUCUUGUAGAGGGGGGUAGAAUUCCAGGUGUAGCGGUGAAAUGCGUAGAGAUCUGGAGGAAUACCGGUGGCGAAGGCGGCCCCCUGGACAAAGACUGACGCUCAGGUGCGAAAGCGUGGGGAGCAAACAGGAUUAGAUACCCCGGUAGUC
rnacentral:rRNA from 1 species